rnacentral:rRNA from 1 species
GCGAACGGGAUUAGAUACCCUGGUAGUCCACGCUGUAAACGAUGUCGAUUUGGAGGUUGUGCCCUUGAGGCGUGGCUUCCGGAGCUAACGCGUUAAAUCGACCGCCUGGGGAGUACGGCCGCAAGGUUAAAACUCAAAUGAAUUGACGGGGGCCCGCACAAGCGGUGGAGCAUGUGGUUUAAUUCGAUGCAACGCGAAGAACCUUACCUACUCUUGACAUCCAGAGAACUUUCCAGAGAUGGAUUGGUGCCUUCGGGAACUCUGAGACAGGUGCUGCAUGGCUGUCGUCAGCUCGUGUUGUGAAAUGUUGGGUUAAGUCCCGCAACGAGCGCAACCCUUAUCCUUUGUUGCCAGCGGUUCGGCCGGGAACUCAAAGGAGACUGCCAGUGAUAAACUGGAGGAAGGUGGGGAUGACGUCAAGUCAUCAUGGCCCUUACGAGUAGGGCUACACACGUGCUACAAUGGCAUAUACAAAGAGAAGCGACCUCGCGAGAGCAAGCGGACCUCAUAAAGUAUGUCGUAGUCCGGAUUGGAGUCUGCAACUCGACUCCAUGAAGUCGGAAUCGCUGGUAAUCGUAGAUCAGAAUGCUACGGUGAAUACGUUCCCGGGCCUUGUACACACCGCCCGUCACACCAUGGGAGUGGGUUGCAAAAGAAGUAGGUAGCUUAACCUUCGGGAGGGCGCUUACCACUUUGUGAUUCAUGACUGGG